GGAGGGGCCGGUAUCAGAGGAGAAGCCACCCCUUUGCUGCCCCCUGCUGGCCUCAAGAUUCCGUGAGAAUACAAGCCCAAACCAUCCGCCAUCACCAGCCCAUCACUCCGCGGGGCUGGGACGAGGAGGCACAGUCUGCUAUAAGAUGCAUUUCAUCUGCAUUCGUGUCGGGGUCCUGAACAGAAAGCCCUUGAGACUCCUGAUUUCCGAUUGGCUUUGUGCACCUCUUGCCACUGUGACUCCAGCAGAGAGCCUCACUCCACGCUGGCCUGUGCUGAGCUUCGUGCAUGCAGAAUUAUAUUUUCAGGAUUUACAUUGUUCAGAUUGGUGAUUUUAGAGACUUUAAAGAUUUUGCUCUUUCGGGAUUUCAACAUUUGGAACUAUGGAGUUUAGCACUGUGUCUUUCGGGAUCACGGCUCAAGCCUGCAGGUGCUCACAGGAGGAAUAAAGGCAGAGGGUGAUUGACAGGUCUCUGGGAGAGACACCCUAGCUGCCUCCUCCUUUGAUGAGAUGGACAACAUGGCCAUCUCCUCCUCCACACCCGCCCCCUGGGGCCGCAGCAGACCCGCAGACCUGUGGCAGAGGCACGAGGCGUGAACACCAACCAACUCAGAAUCUUAAACAGAGAAGACACACAAACACAGCCGGGUGCCUGUGGACCUCCGAACUGCGGCCCUGAUGAGGAAGUGGGUGGCUCCACGUGGACCCUGGCGACCACCUCACAGGCUCUGGAGGGGCUCAAAGUGAAACCCCUCAUGUCCAGCCCCCGUGGGUGGUGUGCUUGGCUUCAUCUCAGGGUGACUAUGGCAACUUCUCUGACCCUCCGUAUUCUCUUCAGUGAAAAGAGGGUAAUAAAUCUCCUCCUAACAGCUCUGUCCAAGGAGCACUCAGCAUAGACUUGUGCACACUCCCACACACGCCCACACCUCCUCUCACCCGCAUACACUCACACACUCACACCCUCACACACUCAGGCACGCAGCACACACUGUGGCCAGGAAAAGCCACCAGCAACGUGCAGGUCACAGCCCUGGGCGGCCCCUGCACCUGGCCGAACCUCCAGGUGCUCAGGGCAGGGGCUGCAGCUGGUCACACCUCAGCCGGAGGAGAGUCCUCUGCUCUGAAGCUGGUCAGAGCCAGCAGCCACGGGUGGGAUCCGUGCAGGCUCCCAGGCCCACAGAACUGUGCGACACAGAGUAGAUGUCACGGCACCUGCCAGCAAGAUGAGCUCGCUCUAACAAACAUGGCGCACAGCGACAUCACUGCCAGGGGUUUCCUCACGCUCCCCGGUGGCGCUCACCAAGGCCAGCCCGGCCACCGUCAUGACGGCCAGCCCUCCACCAGCCCAGCUGGGGACAGAGGCCUCUCACCCGCACCCUCAAACACAAUCACCCACAUGCACACAGACUUGUGCACACUCACACACACAUGCACACACGCCCACAGCUCCUCUCACCUGCACACACUCACACUCUCACACACUCACGCUCUCACACACUCAUGCACUCACAUUCUCACACUCUCACACACACUCACACACUCACAUGCCGACAUACUCACACGUCCUCACACACACUCGCACACACCCUGAGGCCUGGAAUCAAGAUCUCCAUGCACACCCAGCCCCCAUGAAGGGAGAUUUCUGCCAGUUGGGUGCUCCCCCUACACCCCUCAUGGACCUGCCCUGAGCCUGCGUCGCCAGCCACAGGUCUGGAACCACACUCCCGGAUGGAGCACGGGCAGCACUGAGCCAUGCCGUCUGGGGUCAGGCCCCCGGGCCAGGGGAGGUCAUGGUGCUGUCACAGCAGUCCCAGGCCUGGGUUCUAGUCCGGCUCCACCUCCUCCACUGUGGACCUCCGGCAAACGACCCAACUCCUCCGAGCCUCAGGUCCCCUCUGUCAGGGGAUGGCUCUAGGAGCCCCUUCCCACGGUGCCAUGAAAGUGAACCAGUGGUCACCAUCACUGUGGCUGGAGUCAGGCCUGAGCUAAGGCUGGCGUGGCCCCAUUGACCACUCCUGGACCUCACAUAGGGACAUGGGGACGUGUCAGGCUGCCCAGAGUGGCUCUCCCCGCCCUCAAUGCUGCUCUACUGCACAAAGCUAGCCAGGCUUUCCCCGCCAGGCGCCGGGCAGAGACCCCGCUGCACCCUCAGCCCUCCCCCAUCCCCCAGCUCGGCUUCCCGUGGCCCAGCAGAGGGGCCCAUCGAUGGAUGGGUCCUGGUGGGCGCGUUUUUCCUUCUGCUGAGCACUUUGAAGGCAAUUAAUGUUUUUACGAGAGGAUUUUUAAUCUGUGGAUGUGGAUGAAGUCCCCAGUGCCCUGUCAAGGCUCCAGCUGACCUAAUCUAUGAUAAAAAAUGCAAAGUAAGGUGCGAUAAUCUAAAAUUAAAUAUCGGGCUUCAUCUUCCUGCGGCCCAGAUGGAUGAAUA